GAUGCGAUUGAAGGCUCCACGCGAAGGAAGGACCUAACGCGAAAAUUGACCAUUUAAAAGGGCAAGGCGCGGGUCCGGGUAUUCCAACAAGUUAGUGCGCGGAUCCUUAAAGCAUUUUAAAACCCUUUUUCCAUCCUUUUUUCCCAACUGCUGCCAAAACAUUUCAAACAAAGAACCACACCCCAAAAUUGAAUCUGCUAGGGUUCUCAACAUCUGCCAGAUUCAUCAUUUUGUGUACCACCAUGAAUAGAUCCAUGCCUCAUCCAUGAAAAUGUGGUGUGGAGAAAUGGCAAUGCAGAAGAAUCCGCUCGUGGAAGCCGUGCAUGGGAAUCACUCGUGGGAUCGAUCUGUUGCUGCUCUAGCGUCUUCCAGAAACUCCUAGGGUUUCUGGUGCUUUCACAUUAUUGGGCUCCUUUGGGCCGUUUAGGAAUUGGGUCAGGGAUUAAAUUAGGGGUUUUGGGUGUAAUGGGAUUUUGGGUUGGUGUUUUGGGCCUUUAUUAUUUUUUUGGGUUAAUUGUAAAUGGACUUUUUAUGGACAUUUAUUGGAUUUUUGUUAUUUUAUUUUGUUA